GGAGAGGUGGCCGAGUGGUUUAAGGGCGCAGACCUGGAAAGUCUGUUAGGUGGAAACGUCUACCGAGAGUUCGAAUCUCUCCCUCACCG
rnacentral:tRNA from 1 species